rnacentral:tRNA from 1 species
AUUUAUAUAGUAUAAACAUUAUAAUUGAUUUCCAAUCAAAAGAUCUAAUUAAAUUUAGUAUAAAUA